rnacentral:rRNA from 1 species
AGCAGCCGCGGUAAUUCCAGCUCCAAUAGCGUAUAUUAAAGUUGUUGCAGUUAAAAAGCUCGUAGUUGAAUUUCGGGACUAAUAUGUCGGUCGUACUUUGUACGUACUAGCAUUAUUGGUUUCUCCCUUCUGAAGAACCACGAUGUCAUUAAUUUGGUGUCUUGGGGAAUCAGGACUGUUACUUUGAAAAAUUAGAGUGUUUAAAGCAGGCUCACGCUUGAAUACAUUAGCAUGGAAUAAUGAAAUAGGACGUUUGAUUCUAUUUUGUUGGUUUCUAGGAUCGACGUAAUGAUUAAUAGGGAUAGUUGGGGGCAUUAGUAUUCAAUUGUCAGAGGUGAAAUUCUUGGAUUUAUUGAAGACUAACUACUGCG